UUUCCCCCCUUUUCGUGAUUUGUUUACAUCCAUCUUUCGCAUAUUCGCCGGACAUUUUCUAACGUAAGACAAGGGUGAAACUGCUUCAAAAGCUACCAAAAUGAAGAUCGUUAUCUAUAAUUUCGAUCUGCAUUACAGUAUUCAUGAAAAGCAGUUCACGUGUUCGAUUAUUAUGAGUUAUUCUCUCUUCAGUCUUCUCCGACGUCAAG
rnacentral:lncRNA from 1 species